AUCCAGCUAACGAGUUCCAAAUAGGACGAAACGCGCAUUCUGGAU
rnacentral:hammerhead_ribozyme from 1 species